rnacentral:lncRNA from 1 species
AGCCGCUGCGGAGUGGAGCUCAAGUACUCCUCCAGGAACCGGGAGAUGACGGACACCACAGACGCCGACAUGACGAACACGGGGACUUCGGAUACCGGACGACCACAGACGAUGUGGCUCGCGCGUGCGCGUUAGCGGGCCCUAGCCACGCCCACACCGGCGGGCCAAUUGGCUCCGGCGUAAAGGCCAGCCUUGGUGCGUCACAAUUAAUGCGCAGACACAGGCUGCAUACCCAGACUGAGAACUACAAACGGAAAUAAAUUAAUGCUCCUGCGCAGGGCCUAUCUCCCCCUCUG